rnacentral:rRNA from 1 species
UACAGAGGUCUCAAGCGUUGUUCGGAUUCAUUGGGCGUAAAGGGUGUGUAGGUGGCGCUGUAAGUCGGGGGUGAAAUUUCGGAGCUUAACUCCGAAACUGCAUUCGAUACUGCGGUGCUUGAGGACUGGAGAGGAGACUGGAAUUCAUGGUGUAGCAGUGAAAUGCGUAGAGAUCAUGAGGAAGACCAGUGGCGAAGGCGGGUCUCUGGACAGUUCCUGACACUGAGACACGAAGGCCAGGGGAGCAAACAGG